rnacentral:misc_RNA from 1 species
GUGAGUCAUCGAAUCUUUGAACGCACAUUGCGCCCUUUGGUAUUCCGAAGGGCAUACCUGUUCGAGCGUCAUUAUCACCCCUCAAGCCCCGUGCUUGGUGUUGGACGGCCCGGUCGAGGUUACUCGACCCCUCCUAAAGACAAUGACGGCGGCCUGUGGUUCCCCCGGUACACUGAGCUUUUAACUGAGCACGUAUCGGAUAAGGGCGCCCGGGACACGGUCCUCUCCUUUGACUAGGAAACUUUUACAAGGUUGACCUCGGAUCAGGUAGGAAUACGCGCUGAACUUAAGCAUAUCAAUAAGCGGAGGA